UACGGAGGGGGCUAGCGUUGUUCGGAAUUAUUGGGCGUAAAGGGCGCGUAGGCGGCCGGAUAAGUCUGACGUGAAAUCCCUCGGCCUAACCGGGGAACUGCGUUUGAAACUGUCUGGCUCGAGUCCGGGAGAGGGUAGUGGAAUUCCCAGUGUAGCGGUGAAAUGCGUAGAUAUUGGGAGGAACACCGGUGGCGAAGGCGGCUACCUGGACCGGUACUGACGCUGAGGAGCGAAAGCCAGGGGAGCAAACGGG
rnacentral:rRNA from 1 species